UACGGGGGGGAGCAAGCGUUGUUCGGAUUUACUGGGCGUAAAGGGCGCGUAGGCGGCGUGACAAGUCACUUGUGAAAUCUCCGGGCUUAACUCGGAACGGUCAAGUGAUACUGUCGUGCUAGAGUACAGAAGGGGCAACUGGAAUUCUCGGUGUAGCGGUGAAAUGCGUAGAUAUCGAGAGGAACACCUGCGGCGAAGGCGGGUUGCUGGGCUGAUACUGACGCUGAGGCGCGAAAGCCAGGGGAGCGAACGGGG
rnacentral:rRNA from 1 species